rnacentral:lncRNA from 1 species
GGCAAUGCAUUCUAUCUCUUAAGAGACGAUUCUUACAUUCUAGAUAUCCACCCACUCAGUAUAUAAAUGAGUCAUCAGCAGAAACAACAAACAUGUAGAUUCAGAUGCGAUGAUACAUACACUCUGCAUAUAUCAUUUAUAUCCCCAAAUAUAUACACUGCAGGCACAUAUGGACACAUACUGAGUAAAUCACAAAGCUUUCCAUCCUGUAAGUCUUUCUCUUUAGCCUGUGAUGGAUCUCAUUAUUAAUUAAAGAAUCAUUUAGCUUGCAUAAUUGUCUUCUGCCAUCCAUAAUUCCAACCUUUCAAUGUCUUUUCAAGUUGGCUUUUUAGACUAAAUGCACCCCUUUGUCUUGGUGACAUCAUCAACACAGUCUGGAUGGACAGACUCAGCAGUGGGGUGGAUAACAUGGAAAGAGGCCUUCUCUUUGUUCUCAGUCAUGGAACUUACCAAGAGAUGCCACCUCCGUGGAAUCGGCCAUCCUGGAAGAAUGUUCUGGUGCCAGUGACAGCUCGUUCCAAUCACCAGCGGGGGCAACAGCCUCCUCAGGAAAGGUGCCCUUUUGUGUGGAGCGAGGAGGAUACACCCAGGAGAACCGAGCUCUCAGUUCCGAAGGAGUCACCAGGACCCCUUGCUUUUCAAACCAGCCCUCCCAGCAGUGCGAUGUCUCUGGAAAGAUACACAGACACCGAUCCGUAA